rnacentral:lncRNA from 1 species
GAACCCGCCCAUGCCGCUGAUAUUUCAAAAAUUAAAUCAGAUGGCAGCGGAAGAGGCAUGUGCGGGAUCGACGUUCAUCGCAUGAACGUUGUUUCAUAAACCGUUCGUAGUUAGGCAAGAAUUAAAAACUUUUAAAAACUUUAGAAGAUCAGAUCUUCACCUUGUGCGGGUAGAUGAUCACCGCAAACUGAUGAUCGUGGUUUUAGGAUGAAGGUUCGUUUGAAGCCGUUCAAACGUCCGGCCUCUACGGGUAUCCACACGAAGUAGAGGACCGAUCAAAGCUUUCUUGUCUUCCCGGGGUGCUAGCUCCCUUGCAAAGACUUCUUUUGAUGGCUGAUCUCCUCUCUUUCAAUCAACCCUUGAUUGUACUUGAGAGGAGGAAGAAGAAGGAUGAAGAAGAGG